rnacentral:rRNA from 1 species
GACGAACGCUGGCGGCGUGCUUAACACAUGCCAGUCGAACGGAAAGGCCCUGCUUUUGUUGGUUUCUCGAGUGGCGAACGGGUGAGUAACACGUGAGUAAACUGCACUUGACUUUCGGGUAAAAUCAGGAAACUGCGGCUAAUACCGGGUAUGAUCUCCUGCUGCAUGGUGUUGGUUGGUAAAAUUCGGCCGUUGGGGAUGGACUCGCAGGUUAUCAGCUUGUUUGUGUAGUAGUUGCUGACCAAGGCUUUGACGGCUAGCCUGCCUGAGAGGGGGGCCGGGGACAAUGGGACUGAGAGACGGCCCAGAAGCGUACCGGAGGCAGUAGUGGGGAAUAUUGCACAACGGGGGGAAGUCUGAUGCAACGACGUCGCGUGCGGGAUGACCGCCUUCGGGGUGUGAACCGAUUUCGCCUGUGACGUAGCGUGAGUGACGGUAAUGGGUAAAAAAGCAACGGCUAACUACGUG